UGAUCGUCAUUGUAACCAUCCAUCCAUCCAUCGAUUUUCCGAACCACUUGAUCCUCACUAGGGACGCGGGGGGUGCUCGAGCCUAUCCCAGCCGUCUUCGGGCAGUAGUCGGGGGACACCCUGAAUCAGUUGCCCGCCAAUCGCUAGGCACACAGAGACGAACAACCAUCCACGCCCACACUCACACCUAGGGACAAUUUAGAGCGUCCAAUCAGCCUGCCAUGCAUGUUUUUGGAAUGUGGGAGGAAACCGGAGCACCCGGAGAAAACCCACGCAAGCCCGGGGAGAACAUGCAAACUCCACACAGGGAGGCCGGAGCUGGAAUCGAACCGGUACCUCUGCACUGUGAAGCCGACGUGCUAACCACUGGAUACCGGGCCGGUCGUUGUAACCCUGGCGAUAUUCAGGUAAUUGGUAACUAGUUUACCAUGACUCAUGUGAGGUGUUAAUUUUGGACAGAUGAUUAAUUAGUUCAGUGGUAUUUGUAGAGCACAAUAUCGUGGUAUGGAGUUUGAAAUCUACCACUAGUGAGUCGUGUGAACAGGCGUAAGUGUUCGCAACGUUACAAGAUGUAAAUAUGUUUUUUUUUUGGACUGUGAAAUGAUAUGAACUGUGUUAUCUGUUCUUUAGAGGGGAGAUCAUUUCGAUAACAGUACAAUCAGGAAUGCUUGGUGCACUGUGUGGAAGUUUAGGGACGCAACCACCUUUCCGAGGACGUGGUUGGGAAGAGAUAAGUGUUAAGACUAAACAGUGAGCAAGGGGGAACAGUGAAUGGAGCCAUCAACACCAGCUGCGGCGUGAUGUUUUUGUGACAAUUGCACAAUAAUUUUACGUUAUUUUUGGUCGUAAAUUAAUUUCAGCAACAAAAAAACUCAGGAGCCAUUUGAGAGCGGAUAGAGGCUCUUUUUACUGAGCCGAGCCUAAAGAACCGACUAUCUAAAAAGAGCCGGAAUUCCCAUCACUAGUGUGCACGCAAGCACGAGCACGCACACACAUUCAACCAAUCAGCGCUGACACAAAGGGCGUUACAGAUCAAAGAGCUUUGAUCAACGACAACAGCUAAGCUAGUAGUUAAGACGAAACAGCGCUUGAGGUCGGACGGACACGCUCUCCGUUAAUCUGUAUGUUUUUCUUUUCUUUUUCUGUAAAAAUACAUAUAUUUUGAUACUACAAUAGUAUUCUCGUCCACGGAGUCUUUUUUCGUCCCACCGGGGUUUAGCCAGUGUGAUUAUAAAGAGACUAAAAUCUCUUUUGAGGUUAUUACAGCCUUGUUGAGGUCAAUAUUUGAUAACCAAGUAGAUUUUGAUAUAUUUUUUAAAAUAUAUUUUCAAAAGCAGCGCAAGCUUUUUUCCCAAAAACUUACACCUGUUCGGUUAAGGCACCUUCGUAAAAGUCUCAUAAUAUUAUAUAUUAUACAUAUAAUAUAAUAUAUUCAUAUUAUUUUCACUUUCAGUGCGUCAAAUGUUUUCAACAAUUUCAGACCUAACCGUAGACAUGACGUUUUUCAUUAUUUCAGGACAAAAUCCGACGGGCUUUGCUGCAGGGCCCAGAAGUCAUAUCAACAUCAACUGAGGGUUUUCAAGUCCCCUGCCUGAAAUUUCUGCCAAUUUCUUCACCGGGCCUCCUCCCAAGACCAUCGCACACGCCGUCCGCUUGGAGUUGCACCCAUCCGAGCAGCAGCAGCAGCCAGCCACCUACACUUACACCGUCCCGGGCUUUCCUCACGUCUGCUACUCAGACUGAAGCGGAUGGCCGGGAAGACAGAACCAAUCAACCAAGCAGAUGACAUAUUAAAUAAUAAAAUAAAACGGAACUCCUCAUUGGCACCAAAUCCACCCUAAACAAAAUAAACAAUUUCUCCAUUCCCUUUGACAGCUCCACCAUCUCCCCCUCCCCUCAGGUCAAUAGUCUGGGCAUCAUCCUUGAUAGCACCCUCUCCUUCAUCUCACAUAUCAACAACAUUGCUCAUUCUGCAUAUUAUCAUCUUAGAAACAUUCACCGGCUCCGCUCUUCUCUCACCCCUCACUCCACUGCUAUACUUGUUCAUACCCUCGUCACCUCCCGACUUGACUACUGUAACUACCUCA